CAGCGGCGGACGGGUGAGUAAUGCCUAGGAAUCUGCCUGGUAGUGGGGGAUAACGUCCGGAAACGGGCGCUAAUACCGCAUACGUCCUGAGGGAGAAAGUGGGGGAUCUUCGGACCUCACGCUAUCAGAUGAGCCUAGGUCGGAUUAGCUAGUUGGUGGGGUAAAGGCCUACCAAGGCGACGAUCCGUAACUGGUCUGAGAGGAUGAUCAGUCACACUGGAACUGAGACACGGUCCAGACUCCUACGGGAGGCAGCAGUGGGGAAUAUUGGACAAUGGGCGAAAGCCUGAUCCAGCCAUGCCGCGUGUGUGAAGAAGGUCUUCGGAUUGUAAAGCACUUUAAGUUGGGAGGAAGGGCAGUAAGUUAAUACCUUCUGUUUUUGACGUUACCAACAGAAUAAGCACCGGCUAACUUCGUGCCAGCAGCCGCGGUAAUACGAAGGGUGCAAGCGUUAAUCGGAAUUACUGGGCGUAAAGCGCGCGUAGGUGGUUCAGCAAGUUGGAUGUGAAAUCCCCGGGCUCAACCUGGGAACUGCAUCCAAAACUACUGAGCUAGAGUACGGUAGAGGGUGGUGGAAUUUCCUGUGUAGCGGUGAAAUGCGUAGAUUUAGGAAGGAACACCAGUGGCGAAGGCGACCACCUGGACUGAUACUGACACUGAGGUGCGAAAGCGUGGGGAGCAAACAGGAUUAGAU
rnacentral:rRNA from 1 species